rnacentral:rRNA from 1 species
AGCUCCAAUAGCGUAUACUAAAGUUGUUGCGGUUAAAAAGCUCGUAGUUGGAUCUUGGCGUGUGAGUGACUGUUCGAUCUACCGAUUGUACUGUUCUUCCCCCUCUUCUCUUCGGUUGCUUGUGUAGUGCCCUUAACUGAUUGCUGCACUCGACCGGAAUUUUUACCUUGAAAAAAUUAGAGUGUUCAAAGCAGACCUGAUUAUGUCUGAAUAUUCGUGCAUGGAAUAAUAAAAUAAGAACUUGGUUCUAUUUUAUUGGUUUUCGGAACUCGAGGUAAUGAUUAAGAGGGACAGACGGGGGCAUACGUACUCUGCCGUUAGAGGUGAAAUUCUUGGAUCGGCGGAAGACGAGCAACUGCGAAAGCAUUUGCCAAGAAUGUUUUCC